rnacentral:rRNA from 1 species
CCAAGGAGUCUAAUUAGGCAUCAAGUCGAUCGGUCUUGAUAGGCAGACGGGUGGAUUCGUCCACCGAUUGAAGGCGUAAAGAAAUCAAAUCAUGUGAUCAUGGGGGCAAUACCAGCCCUUAUGCGCAACAUGUGCCUGUUCGUAUAGUAAUGUUAGCAAUAACUUACUGGGCGGAGCAAAGACAUGCCUGAUUGGUACCCGAAAGAUGGUGAACUAUGCUUGGGCAAAUUGAAGCCAGAGGAAACUCUGGUGGAGGAUUGUAGCGAUUCUGACGUGCAAAUCGAUCGUCAGACCUGAGUAUAGGGGCGAAAGACUAAUCGAACCAUC